GAGAUAUAACUGUGGGUCCCUCUCUUCUCUCCCCCAUGUUCUCCUUGACAACCUGCCUCUCUCUCUGGUGUUGUUUGGUGGAUUUGCAGAAGAAGAAGAAGCUCUACCCUUUUAGCCAUUAGUUUAAGCUCAGAGACUAAAAUGCUUCUUACAUCUUAAUGCCCCCAAAUUCCCUUCUUCCCUUCCAGUUUGUAGCAAUUGGUGUUGUGAUAUCCAGACUCGGGCGAUAAUUGGGCGUGGUACUAAGAGGAGAGGGUUAUACUAUGUGGAUGAUGUGUCCGCAAGCAGAGUGAACCAAGUGCGCAGUAGCCAGUCAAACAAGGAUAAGACAAUCUGGUUAUGGCAUCGUCGUUUGGGCCAUGCCUCUUUUGGUUAUUUAAAAAGAUUACUUUCGUCUUUAUUUUGUGGCAUUUCAGACUCUGAUUUUCAGUGUAAGGAUUGCAUUCUGGCAAAAAGCCACCGUACUUCUUAUCAUUUGAGUUUAAAUAAA
rnacentral:sRNA from 1 species